GAUAGUUUGGACGGACGUCAGUCUCCGGCGAGGUGGGCCGUGGAACAGAAUCGGUGUUCCCCGUCUGAUCCGUGGACCAGGACAAUCGCUGAGGACUGCGGGUACGGUGUGGGCCAUUUGGGGGAAGCUGAGGACUGCGGCACAGAGGCGAUGAGCGCCGGCGGCGAGACAACAUGGAGUUCUGAUGCAGCCUAUCAGCAGAUCCAGUCUGCUGGAGGAGGUCGGGGAGAGCUUGGUGCCGGCUGCUAGUUGUCGUUGUCUUCGGUGUGGGGGAUUUGUAGGCGGUACCGCGGGCUGAGGCGACGCGGCACACCAGCGGACAGCGGAUAGCGGUGGUGAGCACAAGGGAGAGCUCACCGCCGAUGUCAGAGCUGUCAACGGGGAAGACGAAUCCCCGAGCACUGGGGUGGAACCAGAGGCUAAGGAUUGGUAUUGCCUCCCCGAGCAAAACACCGCGCCUAAACCGAGUAAGUAUGUUCGAAAAGGCAGUCAGGUGUUUUGCGGAGAACCCAACUGAAAAUGUGAUGACACUGGUUCUUGGCACUA